UAGGGAAUAUUGGGCAAUGGGGGCAACCCUGACCCAGCAACGCCGCGUGAACGAAGAAGGUCUUCGGAUUGUAAAGUUCUUUUCUUGAGGAAGAAGGAAGUGACGGUACUCAAGGAAUAAGCACCGGCUAACUACGUGCCAGCAGCCGCGGUAAUACGUAGGGUGCAAGCGUUAUCCGGAAUCACUGGGCGUAAAGGGUGCGUAGGCGGCCUAACAAGUCAGAAGUUUAAUCCAUUGGCUUAACCAAUGUCAGCUUUUGAAACUGUUUGGCUUGAAUACUGGAAGGGCAAGUGGAAUUCCUAGUGUAGCGGUGAAAUGCGUAGAUAUUAGGAGGAACAUCAGUGGCGAAGGCGACUUGCUGGACAGAGAUUGACGCUGAGGCACGAAAGCGUGGGGAGCGAACA
rnacentral:rRNA from 1 species